rnacentral:lncRNA from 1 species
GUAGGAUCCAGUAGGGGACAGAGCAGAAACCUGCAGGUCCUCAUCAUGACAUUGACCUUCACAUUAGUUAGCAGUAAUAUCAUUUUGUUCUACUUUGUUUGUGGCACUCAGGACUGAAACCAGAGGGGCUCUACCACUGACCUACAUCCCCUUUUUUUAAUUCUGAGACAUGGUUUGCUCAGUGGCCCAGGGCCUUGACUUUCUGAAUAGCUGGGAUUACCGCAUAUGCCUGGUGUCAUAUCGUAUAUUACUGUCGUCCACAAACCACUCACGACAUCCACAGACACAGGGACCCUUUCCUUCAAGGGUGCACCUGACCCCAGAAACUUCCCCUUCUUUGGCAACCUCAGAUUACAUUCCAGGAAUGUGGGUCUUCAUUCGUCUGGUCUACGAGUGUGGGUCCUUGGUGAACCUGUCUCCCCUCCCCAGCUCCCAGACUGAUGACACCUUGGGUGGCCACAUUGUCACCACGAGUAGGACCUGGUGGUGUGGAUGCCAGCAGAGAACUUGACACACAGCAUUGUCUAGCAGGAGAUUGGCAGACUGCAAAACACCCCUGACCAGAGGCCGGGUUCAACCCUCAGGACAACACAAGCUGUGGCUUGGGUCAGUUCCUCAAGGUCUCUACCACUGUGGGGAAGGGACCGGGCCCAGCCUGAGUAAGGUGGACGCUAAAUGUGCAUCCUCAGUUGAAUUCACCCAGCGUCGUCUCUCCCCCUCCCCAUUCCCUGCCCUGUGUCCCCCAGGGCACUUCUGUGCAGGGAGGCUCCUCCUGGGACCUCCUCCAUGAAGUCAGGGGACAAAGCAGGAACCACGAGCCUACUGUGCACAGUCCCAGGGUCCCAGCUAGAAGAGUCUUUCCCACCUUUUGAGAUGACAGUGGCCCAGGUGAGCUGUGGGCUCCCCCGGGCGGAGACAGCAGGGGACCAGGAAACAGAGAAGCCACAGCCACGCUCCAGCAUCAGGGGAUUACAUCUCCCAGAGAGCUGGGGACUCCAGCAGGGGCCAGAGAGUGAGAUGGCCCUGUCCUCACCUUCUCUUCCCCCUUUGGCCACGCCCAGCAGCCUUGGCAAGGGGACUGGAGAUGGUGACUGUGAGACCUGUGCCCACCUGGCCUUGGCAGGGGCUGGGGCAGGGGCUGGGGCAGGCUCGGAGGACACAGGGGAAGCUAAAGCUGGGCUUCUUGGCCUGGCCAUCCCUCUCUGAGGCUGGGCCACCAGCCACCAUCUCCACAGAGGGGGUGCUGGAGGAGGUGGCUGCCUGGGAACCCUGCCUAGGGCCCCAAAUUCCAGAGAAAAGCCCAGGGAGUCAUCCAGGCUGAGUCAGCAGGAGAGGGCGGGCCAGGGGGACCUGCCGCUGAGUCACUGGGGCCCCCAGGGCUGCCCUGUCUUCCUCCGCUGCCCGCCAGCCAAGAGGUCACCCAAUCUGGGUUCAAAUCUCAGCCCUGCCACUUCAGUGAGGUUGUGACCCUGGGGGAGACUGAAGGGAGACAGUAAGGUGGUGUCUGGUGAAAUGAGUGACUACAUGGAAAGUGCUCAGAAUGAGGCCAUGCUAGUGACAAGGCCAGACCUUAUCACUGUGGGACUGCCCUGUAGACACAUCUUCCAGGGUCAGGCCUUCAGUCUUCUGAUCAGACCCCCCAGGUAGGUCCUCCUUUCAUCCCAUCGGUCAGAUGACCUGGGGUGGGGCAGGUCACAGGGCUGGUGCCUGAGGACCCUGUAGACGUCCCUGUGGUGUUGCGCUCCUCCCCCACCUGCCAGCAAGUUCUCUGCCCAGGGUCCGUGCCCAGCCCCGUUUGGUGACCUGCGGACCCGAAUGAAUGGACCCAGAGGUUGCCCUGAGGAAAUGGCCCCCCCACCACGGCUUCCCGUUAUGUUUCUUGCAGCAGAAGAGGAAGCAGCCCUGGGCUCGGCACAGGGACAUCGGCUGUGCCACCGGGGAACCGGCACAGCGGGCACAGCGGGCGGGGGUCGGGCAGAAGGAGCGGCCGGCAAAGAAGUCCCGGAAAUGUCACCCUCGGCUCCCGAAGGGAGUCGUCGCUUGCUGUAACUUGCAGGUCCGCGCCGACGGCCGCUGGCCCCGGGUCGCCGUGACU